GAGAGGUGUCCGAGUGGUCGAAGGUGCUUGACUCGAAAUCAAGUGUGGCGAAUAACCACCGUGGGUUCGAAUCCCACCCUCUC
rnacentral:tRNA from 1 species